CUCCCAAGGACCGCGCUCUCCAGAGCCACUCCGCCUCCAACGGAUGAAGCCCUCGACGGUUGGCAAAAGGGGUAGCCAGGAUCAUGGCCCACAUCCUCCCCAUUCCCUGCCCGGUGAAGCUGGGGACGUUGAAAAAUGAAUCCCUUGAAGCUCGAUUCCACGAAUAUGUGAAGCAAGGAAACUACGUGAAGGUGAAGAAGCUUCUGAAGAAAGGGAUCAGUGCUGACACUAUCAACUCCUUGGGGCAGACACCCCUAUUCACGGCUGCCUUGCUUGGUCUUGGCAAAGUUGUCAACAUUCUUCUGGAUUACGGUUCGGAUCCAAAUCACCGCUGUUAUGAUGGGAGUACUCCUGUCCAUGCCGCUGCUUUCUCGGGCAACCAGUCGAUCCUCAGUAAAUUGCUGGAUGCGGGCGGAGACCUGCGAGUCCACGACAAGAAUGGGAGGAACCCACAGAGCUGGGCUGUGACGGCUGGGAAGGAAAGCAGAGCUCAGGUGCUUGAGUUUAUCCAGCGUUGUACUGCCCACAUGCAGGCCACCCUGCAGAACUAUUCCUUGGACUUGCUCAGGAAGGUGGACUCGCCCAGAGCCUUGGUCAGUAGCCCCUCCAAGUUUGUGGGCAUCAAGCAAGGGACAGCCGACAAGUUCCUGAAACGUGGAAGCAGCACCCCCCCAAACAUUUACAGCUUUGGCUUUGGGAAGUUUUAUCUCACAGGCAGCCGGCAGCUGGGUUACCUAGCAUCACUCCCAAUAAUUGCGGACAAAGAAGUGGUCCAGGCUGACGACGAACCGACCACCUCGUUUCCCGCAGGGCCGUACAUGAUGAUGACUAAUUUGAUGUGGGGCGGAAACCGAGUCACCGUGAAGGAGCUGAAUAUGAAGCCCCACCAGCACUGCUGCAAGCUGCGCCUCUCUGACCUCCUCCUUGCAGAGCAGGAAUACAGCAGCAAACUCCGUCACCCUCAUUUGCUGCAGCUGAUGGCUGUCUGCUUAUCCAGCGACUUGGAGAAAACGCGAUUAGUGUUUGAGAGGGUUAACUUUGGCUCGCUCUAUAGCAUCCUUCAUGAGAGGCGUUCGGAGUUCCCAAUCGUGCACAUGGAGACGCUCGUGCACCUUCUGCUCCAGGUGAAUGACGGCUUGAGGUUCCUGCACUUGCGUGGCUUUGUUCACCGCACCGUCAGCUCCUACGCAGUGGUGGUUGUUUUGGCUGGGGAGGCCAAACUUACCAAUCUGGAGUACAUGAUCGAAAGCAAAGAUGGGGGCGAGCACAGCGACCUGACGCGGGUGCCCAUCCCUUCCCAGUUACACAAAUGGUGCGCCCCGGAAGUGAUCCUCGAGAAGGCUGCCACCCUGAAAUCUGACAUCUACAGCUUCUGUGCAGUGAUGCAGGAGGCUCUCACAGAUACCAUUCCCUGGGAUGGAUUUGAGGGUUCGGCUGUUAAGGAUCUCAUCGUUUCCGGGCAGUGGCUGGAGGCAGACGCCAGGCUCCCCAUACCCUAUUACGACAUUGUGAAGACUGGCCUCAAGUCCAGGCAAAAGCAACGCACUAUGAACCUCCAGGACAUCCGAUACAUCCUGAAGAAUGACUUAAAGGAUUUGAUGGAGUCUCGCAGGAUCCGCCCUGGUGAAAGCUCUGGACCUCUGAAGGCUGAACCCCGUCCUGACAUUAACAUCUGCUUGCCGUCCGCCUCCGCUGUCUCGGUCAAGGUGCCGGAGCUGCCAGAGGAAGAGGCGGCAGCCUGGGGCACCCCAUGUCUGCCUUCCAGGAGCUUCACCGUGACAAGAUGCGCCGCUUCCGCUCCCGAAAUCGAAGGUGCAAUUGCCCACAGGUCAGAGCCUGUCCUCCGCACCGCUCAGUCAAGCCCCCUCUUGGCCCCUAAAGUCCAGGGCGACACCAAUGACUGCAACGAGAGCCUCUGCAGCUUUGAAAUCAACGAGAUCUAUACGUGCUACCCGGAGCUGUGUGGGGACGGUGCGGAGGAGGGUGAGGCGGCGGAGGCAGGGCUGGGUCAGGGAGCCCGAAGGGAGUCUCGAACCGUCCCAGGGGACAGGGCUGAAGUCCCUUUGCCGAUGCCGUCUGCCAAAAUACAGGACGGGAGGGUGAGCUGUUGCAGCGAGGGGGGUGCCUCCUCCGACACCAAAUCGGAGUACACCAGAGAGGAGUUCACUUACAUGUCCCGGCCCUGCCCAUUGCACCAAGUGGUGAGAUUCGCCAGCUGCAGAGGCAGGACUGGCCACUUCGAGGUCGGGCACUACUUCGGAAAGUGCGUCCUGAACCUGAAGAUUUCCCAGACUUUGCUGCAGCAAGCAAGGGAUUCCAUCUGCAGGACGGAAGAGAGGCUGGAUGAACUGGAGACCUUCAGGAACCAUCACCCCCAACUGUUUCUGGGGGCCCAAGGGAAGCAGCAGCAGCGCACCUUAAGCUCUGUAAUUCGGGGCUACCGGAAGGAGGACGACACUUUCAGAAAUAUCAGGGCGCCCUGCAACGGAGCCAGUGCCUUGCCCUGGAAAGCGGUGAGCCCUCCUUCAAUGAGCUACGUGCCUCCACCGCUACGCGUCCUGGGUGUACGUAGGCCGCUGGUUAUUCAUUCUUUCCAGGCGGUGGGACAGGAGCGCAAAGGUGACUGCAGGAGCCAGGACACCACCUGCUGGAGUGAUUUUGGAUUGGAAGCACCCAAAAGCCCUGGGAACGGAGAAGUGGAGCCAGACUAUCAGCCUUUGCAACCAGGCGUGUCCGUCAGGAGGAAAAGGAACGCAAGUCCGCAGCCUCAGCGUGGGAGCUCUACGGCGGAUGGGUUCGUUUCAAAGUCAACUCCUGAAAUUUAUGAAGAGAGUUUGAGAAGUGAGGAGAGGAGGAUGGCGCAGUCUGAAUGGACGACUGAAGUGAAGCACAUGGCAAGACAAGCAGCUUCUGGGCAGCUGGGCCUUCCACGCCACUAUCCUCCCAGUGAAUGGACCUCAGAGAGUGAGGUGGAGAGCAUCAAGGACAUUUUUCGGGGUGCCGGCAACAAGGAGAGUGUUGGGUUCCGCCAGUGGGAUGCUGAGGCAGGGGCGCUGCAGGCUGGGAGUAGUGUUGGGGACCAUCGGCCAAUCCUUGACUGUGAAGAAGAGAGUGACCUGAAGAUUGUCUUGAAAAGAUUCUUGCAACCCGAGACCCAAAGUGUGAGCCACUGGAUUGGAGGCAGAAGCAGGCAAUUUCCAGCAAAUGGGGCCUUAACUGAGAGUGGCGUCGCCUCACGCGAGAGCGCGGCCCUUUCUGUCACCGCUGAGGACCUUUGCCGGGGACAGGUGGAGGAACUGGGCCCCUCCCCAUCUUCCUCCCUUGAUGUGUCAGAUGAGUUUUUAACUCCUGAUCCAGAGUUCUUCUGCUCUUCUGUUCCUCCUGACAGCUCAGAACUAGAGAACUCAGCUGCUGCAGAAGGGGAAAACCUGGAAAUCACCCAAGAUAUUUGCAGUCAAGAAGAAGACAUGGAGAUGUCCCAAGAAAUCUGUGGGCAGAAAGAAUGCCCCAUGCAUGCAGAGCAAUGUGGAAAACUGCUUGUCCGUGGCACAGAGGCAAAACAUCUCCACAGUGAGGCGCCAGGGGAGGAUCUCUUUACACCUGCUGCCAGCAUCAGAGCUACGCAAGGCACGAGACCCAGCGAGGCGCCGAGAGAGUUCAAAGAGAGAGAUGUAUCCCUCAUAGAUAUUCAGGAUUUGUCCAGUAUUUCGUACGAGAACUCGUAUAAGCCAACAGCUCAUAAAACGCCCCGAAGCACCCUCUCGCCAGCUGAUGCCAGCACCCCCCUUAGCCCAGUGCCAGCGUCGCCCAGGUUUUCCUCCACUGUCACAAAGUACAAAGAUUACUGCCUGAUGACGAUAGACACGACAAGCUGGGGGAGCCCAAAGGCUUCCUUGUCGGGAUUCAGCACCUUUGCUACUUCCUGCGGCAAAGGGAAGGUCACCGAGCUCCCCUUGGCCCUCCGGCAGGCAGCGCCUGGACUCUCCAGACCUUGUGCCUCAUUAGAAAUCUCUGUCCAGUUGCCUCUUCGAAGGGACCAGAAAGAAUCAGAAACAAUUUCUCCCACUCAGCAAAGACACCUCUGGAAAGGUGCAGCAGCGAUUCCUGGUCAAGCUGAUUCGGAAGACCAAGAAACAACAUUGAACAAGUGCCAAGCUGAUUGCAGCCUCUGGACCAGUGAGACUUCGUAUCUGGGAGAAGAGACAGAAAGGGCUCACUCAAGUCUUGACGAUGUUUUGGAAGGCGUUCUCGGGCCGACAGCCGACAGCCGCAACCCUCGCGAAGAGCUGCCGUCCCCCAUCAAGAGGAGUCAACACGACUCUUUGAAUGGAGCUGAAGGCUGAACCUCCCAGCUGUGAUGUAAACCUUCACCGACUCUGCGCAACGGAACUGAUCUGCUCUAAACUUCCAUCUAACAAAAAAACAUGGUUGUCGAACACAGCGAUGGGGGGAACUGUAUCCUUCCUGAUGUUGUUGGGGCUCCAAUGCCAGAGGAUCUGCUUGGCAUGUAGAAGGCCCCAGGCUCCAUUCGUGGCAGCCCCAGAACUCGCAGACAUUCAAGGAAGCUGAAUGUUGGAAGGUUCCGGGCAGACAGAAGGAAUUCUUUGCAUAGCAACAACGCAACAGGAAGCCUGCAACCAGGACCUGAGCACAAGAGGACUCUCCUCCGGUUUCCAGCAACUGGUAUUCGGAAGCAUACAGCCUCUGACUGUGGAGGCAGAAAGGAAUCUCAGAUUCAAAUGCAUUACACAAAAAAGAAAUCCAAUUCUAAGAAAUGGGAAGAUGCGAGUGUGACCCAUGGUAAGAAACAGGGAAAGUGCACUCAGAUAGUGGACAGACAAGGACUUCAUUGAGCACCAGAACUUGCCCCCUCUUUUUGUUUUGUCCUCAUUUUUUUUUUCUGGACUUAUUUGUGGUAACAGAAGCCAGAUGGACAAAUGCUAGAUCAGGGACCCGCCACAGGGAGGUAAGCUGUGAGCAGGGGAGGAAGUACCAUAGGUCAGUGGUAAGAGCAUCUGCUUUACAUUCAGCAGACUCCAGGUUCAGUCCCCAGCAUCUCCAGGUAGGGCUGGGAAUGUCCCGACUGAAACCAUAGAGAGCUACUGCCAGUCAGUGUAGACAGUACUGAGCUAGAUGGAUCCAUGGCUUAAGAACAUACAAAGAGCCCUGCUGGUUCAGGCCAAAGACCCAUCUAGUCCAGAAUUCUGUUCUCACAGGGGCCAACUAGGUGCCCAUGGGAAGUCUUCAAGCAGCACCUGGGUGCAACAGCACUCUCCGCACCUGUGAUUCCCAGCUAUUGGUAUUCAGAAACAUACUGCUUUUAACAGUGAAGGCAGAAUAAAGCUAUUGUGGCUAGCAGCCAUUGACUCUGUAUAUGGCAGCUUCCUAUGUAUCUAGUCCCUGUGACUCAUGUAACAUUUGCUGCUUAAAUUUCCCCCUGCCCUCCACUUUGUGUGUGAUUUGUGGCAUAACCACAUUUAAAGACGGGGAUACAUCAAAGUUGGUA